rnacentral:rRNA from 1 species
UACAGAGGGUGCGAGCGUUAAUCGGAAUUACUGGGCGUAAAGCGCACGUAGGUGGCUUUGCAAGUCGAUUGUGAAAUCCCCGGGCUUAACCUGGGAACUGCAGUCGAGACUGCUUUGCUUGAGUAUGGGAGAGGGAGGUGGAAUUUCCGGUGUAGCGGUGAAAUGCGUAGAUAUCGGAAGGAACAUCAGUGGCGAAGGCGACCUCCUGGACCAAUACUGACACUCAAGUGCGAAAAGCGUGGGGAGCAAACAGG